AAAUUGAAGAGUUUGAUCAUGGCUCAGAUUGAACGCUGGCGGCAGGCCUAACACAUGCAAGUCGAACGGUAACAGGAAGCAGCUUGCUGCUUCGCUGACGAGUGGCGGACGGGUGAGUAAUGUCUGGGAAACUGCCUGAUGGAGGGGGAUAACUACUGGAAACGGUGGCUAAUACCGCAUAACGUCGCAAGACCAAAGAGGGGGACCUUCGGGCCUCUUGCCAUCAGAUGUGCCCAGAUGGGAUUAGCUUGUUGGUGAGGUAACGGCUCACCAAGGCGACGAUCCCUAGCUGGUCUGAGAGGAUGACCAGCCACACUGGAACUGAGACACGGUCCAGACUCCUACGGGAGGCAGCAGUGGGGAAUAUUGCACAAUGGGCGCAAGCCUGAUGCAGCCAUGCCGCGUGUAUGAAGAAGGCCUUCGGGUUGUAAAGUACUUUCAGCGGGGAGGAAGGUGUUGCGGUUAAUAACCGCAGCAAUUGACGUUACCCGCAGAAGAAGCACCGGCUAACUCCGUGCCAGCAGCCGCGGUAAUACGGAGGGUGCAAGCGUUAAUCGGAAUUACUGGGCGUAAAGCGCACGCAGGCGGUCUGUCAAGUCGGAUGUGAAAUCCCCGGGCUCAACCUGGGAACUGCAUUCGAAACUGGCAGGCUUGAGUCUUGUAGAGGGGGGUAGAAUUCCAGGUGUAGCGGUGAAAUGCGUAGAGAUCUGGAGGAAUACCGGUGGCGAAGGCGGCCCCCUGGACAAAGACUGACGCUCAGGUGCGAAAGCGUGGGGAGCAAACAGGAUUAGAUACCCUGGUAGUCCACGCCGUAAACGAUGUCUACUUGGAGGUUGUGCCCUUGAGGCGUGGCUUCCGGAGCUAACGCGUUAAGUAGACCGCACGGGAGUACGGCCGCAAGGUUAAAACUCAAAUGAAUUGACGGGGGCCCGCACAAGCGGUGGAGCAUGUGGUUUAAUUCGAUGCAACGCGAAGAACCUUACCUGGUCUUGACAUCCACGGAAGGUCUCAGAGAUGAGACUGUGCCUUCGGGAGCCGUGAGACAGGUGCUGCAUGGCUGUCGUCAGCUCGUGUUGUGAAAUGUUGGGUUAAGUCCCGCAACGAGCGCAACCCUUAUCCUUUGUUGCCAGCGAUUAGGUCGGGAACUCAAAGGAGACUGCCAGUGAUAAACUGGAGGAAGGUGGGGAUGACGUCAAGUCAUCAUGGCCCUUACGACCAGGGCUACACACGUGCUACAAUGGCGCAUACAAAGAGAAGCGACCUCGCGAGAGCAAGCGGACCUCAUAAAGUGCGUCGUAGUCCGGAUUGGAGUCUGCAACUCGACUCCAUGAAGUCGGAAUCGCUAGUAAUCGUGGAUCAGAAUGCCACGGUGAAUACGUUCCCGGGCCUUGUACACACCGCCCGUCACACCAUGGGAGUGGGUUGCAAAAGAAGUAGGUAGCUUAACCUUCGGGAGGGCGCUUACCACUUUGUGAUUCAUGACUGGGGUGAAGUCGUAACAAGGUAACCGUAGGGGAACCUGCGGUUGGAUCACCUCCUUACCUGAAAGAA
rnacentral:rRNA from 1 species